ACACACAAGUCAUUUCUUGGAAGAGACUUCUGUCGGGAGGAAACACAGUCUUUUUGCUCUGCCCAUCUUGGGUUCUGUGGCUGAGGCCCUGCACACUACGCAGACAAGCAAGGCCGGCAAGAGGAAGAGGAACACAAGUUUACGACCAUGAACUGGGCAGUUCAGCAGCACUGAGCUGCAGUUCUUGAGAACAGAGGAGUCCUUGAGAUGAAGUCCACGUUCAGCAUGGCCUUCUUUGGAAAGGAGAAAAAGACGGAAUGGACACCCAACAAGGUUAAGCGUCUCUGAGCACCCAGGCCCAGCACUGGGACUCCUCUGGUUUUAUAGGCAUCAGGAAGUCCCGUUUGCCAAAAAGUAGAAACGACACAAUGCCCAUCGCCUGAGGAACGGACAAAAUGUGGUCUACCCUAGGACGGAAAUUGUGCCAUCACAGAAGGGUGCGGAGCCCACACCGGCCACAGCACAGAUGGACCUUGAAAACCUGAUGCUCAGCGUAAGAAGCCAGACACAAAAGGCUGCAUUAUACGGUUCAUAAGCAGGAAA